rnacentral:rRNA from 1 species
GAUGAACGCUGGCGGCGUGCUUAACACAUGCAAGUCGAACGGAAAGGCUCCUGCUUGCAGGGGUACUCGAGUGGCGAACGGGUGAGUAACACGUGGGUGAUCUGCCCUGCACUUCGGGUUAAGCCUGGGAAACUGGGUCUAAUACCGGAUAGGACGAUGGUUUGGAUGCCAUUGUGGAAAGUUUUUUCGGUGUGGGAUGAGCUCGCGGCCUAUCAGCUUGUUGGUGGGGUAAUGGCCUACCAAGGCGUCGACGGGUAGCCGGCCUGAGAGGGUGUACGGCCACAUUGGGACUGAGAUACGGCCCAGACUCCUACGGGAGGCAGCAGUGGGGAAUAUUGCACAAUGGACGCAAGCCUGAUGCAGCGACGCCGCGUGGGGGAUGACGGCCUUCGGGUUGUAAACUCCUUUCGCUAGGGACGAAGCGCAAGUGACGGUACCUGGAGAAGAAGCACCGGCUAACUACGUG